ensembl:lncRNA
AACAAAAAUAUUCUGCUCUGAGUGGAGGAAGUGCAGGUGGAGGUGAGGAGAAGGAGGGAGUGCAGGUGGAGGUGAGGAGAAGGAGGGAGUGCAGGUGGAGGUGAGGAGAAGGAGGAAGUGCAGGUGGAGGUGAGGAGAAGGAGGGAGUGCAGGUGGAGGUGAGGAGAAGGAGGGAGUGCAGGUGGAGCUGAGGAGAAGGAGGGAGUGCAGGUGGACGUGAGGAGAAGGAGGGAGUGCAGGUGGAGGUGAGGAGAAGGAGGGAGUGCAGGUGGAGGUGAGGAGAAGGAGGAAGUGCAGGUGGAGGUGAGGAGAAGGAGGGAGUGCAGGUGGAGGUGAGGAGAA